rnacentral:rRNA from 1 species
UACGUAGGGGGCAAGCGUUGUCCGGAAUCAUUGGGCGUAAAGAGCGUGUAGGCGGCCUGAUAAGUCGGCUGUGAAAGUCAAGGGCUCAACCCUUGAAUGCCGGCCGAUACUGUCAGGCUAGAGUCCGGAAGAGGCGAGUGGAAUUCCUGGUGUAGCGGUGAAAUGCGCAGAUAUCAGGAGGAACACCUAUGGCGAAGGCAGCUCGCUGGGACGGUACUGACGCUGAGACGCGAAAGCGUGGGGAGCAAACAGG